ensembl:miRNA gmo-mir-11204d gmo-mir-11204d
UAGUCUUUUCGCUCGGUUCUCCGUGUCAACAGUAGGGCUAGAACGGAGCAAAAAGACAA